CACGUAGGGUGCGAGCGUUUGUCCGGAAUUAUUGGGCGUAAAGAGCUCGUAGGCGGUGUGUCGCGUCGGCCGUGAAAACCUGCAGCUUAACUGUGGGCUUGCGGUCGAUACGGGCAUCACUGGAGUUCGGCAGGGGAGACUGGAAUUCCUGGUGUAGCGGUGAAAUGCGCAGAUAUCAGGAGGGAACACCGGUGGGCGAAGGCGGGUCUCUUGGGCCGAUACUGACGCUGGAGGAG
rnacentral:rRNA from 1 species